AUUGAACGCUAGCGGGAUGCUUUACACAUGAAAGUCGAACGAGUGGGGACGGGUGAGUAACACGUGGGUAACCUCCCAUCAGAGGGGAUAACACUUGGAAAAAGGUGCUAAACCGAUACUGCGGGAAGGACCCGCGGUGCAUUAGCUAGUUGGGGGGGAAACGGCUCACCAAGGCCACGAUGCAUAGCCGACCUGAGAGGGUGAUCGGCCACACUGGGACUGAGACACGGCCCAGACUCCUACGGUAGGCAGCAGUAGGGAAUCUUCGGCAAUGGACGAAAGUCUGACCGAGCAACGCCGCGUGAGUGAAGAAGGUUUUCGGAUCGUAAAACUCUGUUGUUAGAGAAGCGGUAUCUAACCAGAAAGCCACGGCUAACUACGUGCCAGCAGCCGCGGUAAUAC
rnacentral:rRNA from 1 species